UACGUAGGGGGCAAGCGUUGUCCGGAUUUAUUGGGCGUAAAGAGCGUGUAGGCGGUCAGGUAGGUCCGUUGUGAAAACUCGAGGCUCAACCUCGAGACGCCCAUGGAAACCAUCUGACUAGAGUCCGGAAGAGGAGAGUGGAAUUCCGUGGUGUAGCGGUGAAAUGCGUAGAUAUGCGGAGGAACACCGAUGGCGAAGGCAAUCCCUGGGCCUGCACUGACGCUCAUGCACGAAAGCGUGGGGAGC
rnacentral:rRNA from 1 species